GGGCCCCGAGCUCCGCGCACAGCUUGCUGGGAGUUGUAGGACGAGGCGUCUUCCUCGUCCGAGAGGCUUCGGACGUGACAACAGGGGACGUUUCUGCUCGGCCGGUGGGAUCCCGCGAGUUCCCCUCUGGGCCUCCCCAGCUUAUUUCAGUUCAGGAAUCCGUCAGGCCUAGCCACGGGCUACGAGAGCUUCGUUUCCCGGGACUAAGGGCUCUGAGGCCCUGGUUCCGGGGACCCGUCUGGUGGACUGUUGAACCGAGGGCUGGCCGUUGGGGGAGCUCGGCUCGCGGUUUGCCGGGGCUGGAGAAGCCCUUGUUUCCCUUCGGGGCCAGGGGCGCGGAAGACCUGAGGGCUUAAGGAUUUGUCACCCAGAAUUCUACAGUUCUGUGUACCAGAAACGGAGCACGUGUGUCCCGCCGUUUUGGUCAUGGGGGAGGGCCUGUGACUGGUCACAGUGGGAGUGGAGGAUGUCAUAGAGGGAUGAACCCUUUGUGGGCUCACAAACGGAUCGGGCAGAUGAACGCGUCAGGCAGCCUGGACAGUUUUUUUGUCUCCUCCUCCAAGUACCCUUACCAGGAGUCUCCUGAUUCGGCCCUGUGGGGGCUUUGCCACACCUGGGAUCUGGGACCGAUAACUCUACAAUUUCCAGAAAUGGCUUCUUUGGUUAUUUGUAUUUAAUGAACAUGUCAGCUUGCAAGAUUAAUCAUGGAAAUUUUGAUUUAGAAGAGACCCUUUGUCUGGAGUACAUUUGCCCCCAGAUAUCUUCUUGGCUUGUUUCCUAUCAGAAUGGAUUUUUUUCUUUUCCCGUCUUUUGGAAGAGCUGUUCAAAAUGGUCUAGCGCAGCUAUGCCCUGUCUAAGCAUGCCACUUUUACAGAAGCGCAGAGGCUCGCCCUGCUCCUUCAAAUCUGCUUGGGAAGUUGCUUCUGCGUCCCGGUGCUGCGUCGUCGCGGAGCC
rnacentral:lncRNA from 1 species